GAAAUGCGAUAAGUAAUGUGAAUUGCAGAAUUCAGUGAAUCAUCGAAUCUUUGAACGCACCUUGCGCUCCUUGGUAUUCCUUGGAGCAUGCCUGUUGAGUAUCAUGAAAUCUUCAAAGUAAAUCUUUUGUUAACUCAAUUGGUUUCUACUUUGGUAUUGGAGGUCUUUGCAGCUUCACACCUGCUCCUCUUUGUUCAUUAGCUGGAUCUCAGUGUUAUGCUUGGUUCCACUCGGCGUGAUAAGUUAUCUAUCGCUGAGGACACUGUAAAAGGUGGACAAGGUAAAUGCAGAUGAACCGCUUCUAAUAGUCCAUUGACUUGGACAAUACUUUUAUGAUCUGAUCUCAAAUCAGGUAGGACUACCCGCUGAACUUAAGC
rnacentral:misc_RNA from 1 species